rnacentral:rRNA from 1 species
AGAGUUUGAUCCUGGCUCAGGAUGAACGCUAGCGGCAGGCCUAAUACAUGCAAGUCGAACGGUAAAUAUUCAGCAAUGGAUAUGAGAGUGACGUACGGGUGCGUAACACGUAUGCAACCUACCCUUUACAGGAGGAUAGCUCGGGGAAACUCGGAUUAACCCUCCAUGAGAUCAUAGAGUGGCAUCACUUAGUGAUUAAAAUUACGGUGGUAAAGGAUGGGCAUGCGUCUGAUUAGUUAGUUGGCGGGGUAAUGGCCCACCAAGACGAUGAUCAGUAGGGGAACUGAGAGGUUGAUCCCCCACACUGGCACUGAGAUACGGGCCAGACUCCUACGGGAGGCAGCAGUAGGGAAUAUUGGUCAAUGGAUGGAAGUCUGAACCAGCCAUGCCGCGUGCAGGAAAGAAGGGCCUUCUGGGUUGUAAACUGCUUUUGCCAGGGGCUAAAAACGCCCCAUGCCGUGGGGAAAAUUGAAAAGUACCUGGUGAAUAAAGCCCACCGCCUAACUACCGUUGCCAAGCAGGCGGCGGGUAAUAACGUAGGGUGGGCAAGCGUUGGUCUCGGGAUUUUAUUUGGGGUUUAAAGGGUGCCGUAAGCCGGGCUUUUGUAAGUCCAGUGGUUGAAAUAUUGGGCAGCUCUAACCUGUCAGGGUCGCCAUUUGAUUACCUGCAGAAGUCUUGACGUACCAGAGUGAAGCUCAGCCAGGAAUUCGUACGGUCUACCGGAUGAAAUGCUUAGAUAUUCGUCAGGAAGACCACUAUUAGCGGAGGCAGCUUAUUAAGCUGUAACUGACGUCUGAGCCACGAAAGUGUGGGGAUCCAAACAGGAUUGAGAUACCCCUGGGUAGCUCCCACACUGUAAACGGUUGAAUUACUCCGCUGUUGUGCGAAUAUCACAAGUAGCGCGCCCCAAGCGAAAACGCGCUUAAGUAAUCCCACUUGGGGAGUUACCGCCGGCAACCGGUUGAAAUCUCAAAGGGAAUUGGACGGGGGGGUCCCGCCACAAAGCGGUGGGAGCCAUGGUGGUUUUAAUUUCGGAUGUAUACGGCGAAGGAACCCCUUACCCUUGGGCUUAGAAAUGCCCCUUUGAAUGGGUGUCCAAGAGAAAUGGGACUGUUUCCCGCCAAGAACAAAGAGAGCCAAGGUUGCUGCAUGGGCUGGUCGUUCAGCUCCGUGCCCGUGGAGGGUGUUGGGUUAAGUCCCCGGCAACGAGCGCAACCCCCUAUUUCUAGUUGCCCAACAUGUAAUGGUGGGGGACUCUAGAAAGACUGCCUGCGCAAGCAGAGAGGAAGGAGGGGACGACGUCAAGUCAUCAUGGCCCUUACGCCCAGGGCUACACACGUGCUACAAUGGCGUAUACAGAGUGUUGCAAGCUGGUGACAGUGAGCCAAUCACAAAAAGUACGUCUCAGUUCGGAUUGCAGGCUGCAACUCGCCUGCAUGAAGUUGGAAUCGCUAGUAAUCGCGCAUCAGCAAUGGCGCGGUGAAUACGUUCCCGGACCUUGUACACACCGCCCGUCAAGCCAUGAGAGUCGGGAGGACCUGAAGGCAGUUGCUGCAAGGCGCUGUUUAGGGUUAAACCGAUGAUUAGGGCUAAGUCGUAACAAGGUAACC